rnacentral:rRNA from 1 species
GAAGAAAGAGGGAGGCGGGCGGAACACAUGCAAGUCGAACGGAAAGGCCCUGCUUUUGUGGGGUGCUCGAGUGGCGAACGGGUGAGUAACACGUGAGUAACCUGCCCUUGACUUUGGGAUAACUUCAGGAAACUGGGGCUAAUACCGGAUAGGAGCUCCUGCUGCAUGGUGGGGGUUGGAAAGUUUCGGCGGUUGGGGAUGGACUCGCGGCUUAUCAGCUUGUUGGUGGGGUAGUGGCUUACCAAGGCUUUGACGGGUAGCCGGCCUGAGAGGGUGACCGGCCACAUUGGGACUGAGAUACGGCCCAGACUCCUACGGGAGGCAGCAGUGGGGAAUAUUGCACAAUGGGCGGAAGCCUGAUGCAGCAACGCCGCGUGCGGGAUGACGGCCUUCGGGUUGUAAACCGCUUUCGCCUGUGACGAAGCGUGAGUGACGGUAAUGGGUAAAGAAGCACCGGCUAACUACGUG